rnacentral:rRNA from 1 species
AUGGGCUCUGUUUCCGGUGCUUGGCGGAUGACCACUUCGUCGCCGACUGUCGUGGGCCUGUCACCUACUUGGGCUGCGGCCGUUCUGGGCAUCGCGAGCGUGGCUGCCCGGACCGCCUCCUUGCCAGCCACGGUCAUCUCCGCAGCGCCCUGUUGCCGCCGGCUGCUCCUCGCCUCCCCAAGCACCCGCCCCUAG